AAAGGGUUGGGCAAACUGGUCAAUCACCGUCAUGACAGGGAUCGGGGCAUAUUACUAGGUGGAGGAAAAGAAACUAACCAGGAUUCCCCAAGUAACGGCGAUUAAAGAUGGAAAAGCCCAGCACCAAUGCCUGUGGUAGGUUUACUGCUAGGCAAUUUGGUGUUUGGUCAACUCGCGGGAUUGCCACUUCACUCGAAGUCAAGCACUGAGUAUGGUUCCCUGGAUUUGGCCCAGAGAGGGUGAAACGCCCGUGCGAGUGGAGGUUCAGACAUGUGAGGCAAUUCGCCAGGUCGACCUUCUUGUCGGGUUGUUUGGGAAUGCAGCCCAAUGUGGGUGGUAAACUCCAUCCAAAGUCACCCAUUAAAACUGCGUGUCUAGCAGGCGAGACUGGAUGUGCGCAAGUUCUCCUUAUCUGUCAGAGGGGUUUAACCAUGGAAUGCCUUCCCUGAAGACGUUGUGAUGUCACCAUUUCUGAAAAGCUUCAAAAGGAAACUUGACAGUUUUAUGUUUCAAAACGAGACUGAGCGAUGAGGAGUUUAUCUUUACCCUCGAGAGUAAUGCAACACUUGUCAUAUUUUAUGACUGCCUUUUGUACCUUUG
rnacentral:ncRNA from 1 species